CUGCUGCCUUCCGUAGGAGUUUGGGCCGUGUCUCAGUCCCAAUGUGGCCGUCCACCCUCUCAGGCCGGCUACCGAUCGUCGCUUUGGUGGGCCGUUACCCCGCCAACUGGCUAAUCGGACGCGGGCUCAUCCCGUACCACCGGAGUUUUCAAGGCCGGGGCAUGCGCCCCCGCCUGUCAUGCGGUGUUAGCACCUGUUUCCAGGUGUUAUCCCCCGGUACGGGGCAGAUUGCCCACGCGUUACUCACCCGUCCGCCACUAGGCCGCAUCCGCCCCGGG
rnacentral:rRNA from 1 species